rnacentral:rRNA from 1 species
UACGAAGGGGGCUAGCGUUGUUCGGAAUUAUUGGGCGUAAAGAGCUCGUAGGCGGUCUGUCGCGUCGGCUGUGAAAUCCCGAGGCUCAACCUCGGGUCUGCAGUCGAUACGGGCAAACUUGAGUGUUGCAGGGGAGACUGGAAUUCCUGGUGUAGCGGUGAAAUGCGCAGAUAUCAGGAGGAACACCGGUGGCGAAGGCGGGUCUCUGGGCAACAACUGACGCUGAGGAGCGAAAGCGUGGGGAGCGAACAGG